ACGGGGUGCAGCAGGCGCGAAACCUUUACAAUGCGGGCAACCGUGAUAAGGGAACCUUGAGUGCCUGUAAACGCAGGCUGUUCAGGUGUUUAAAACGCACCUGGAGAAAGGGCCGGGCAAGACCGGUGCCAGCCGCCGCGGUAAUACCGGCGGCUCGAGUGGUGGCCGCUUUUAUUGGGCUUAAAGCGUUCGUAGCUGGGUUGUUAAGUCUCUUGGGAAAUCUGGCGGCUUAACCGUCAGGCGUCUAAGGGAUACUGGCAAUCUUGGAACCGGGAGAGGUGAGGGGUACUUCGGGGGUAGGGGUGAAAUCCUGUAAUCCUCGAGGGACCACCUGUGGCGAAGGCGCCUCACCAGAACGGCUUCGACAGUGAGGGACGAAAGCUGGGGGAGCAAACCGGAUUAGAUACCCGGGUAGUCCCAGCCGUAAACGAUGCGCGUUAGGUGUAUCGGUGACCACGAGUUACCGAGGUGCCGAAGGGAAACCGUGAAACGCGCCGCCUGGGAAGUACGGUCGCAAGGCUGAAACUUAAAGGAAUUGGCGGGGGAGCAC
rnacentral:rRNA from 1 species